rnacentral:rRNA from 1 species
CAUGGGGUGCAAACGUUGCUCGGAAUUAUUGGGCGUAAAGCGCGCGUAGGCGGUUACUUAAGUCGGAUGUGAAAGGCCCUCGGCCUUAACUGAGGAAGUGCACCCGAAACUGAGUAGCUAGAGUACGGAAGAGGGUCGCGGAAUUCCCGGUGUAGAGGUGAAAUUCGUAGAUAUCGGGAGGAACACCGGUGGCGAAGGCGGCGACCUGGGUCGAGACUGACGCUGAGGCGCGAAAGCGUGGGGAGCAAACAGGAUUAGAUACCCUGGUAGUCCACGCCGUAAACGAUGGGUGCUAGAUGGUUUCUGGUAUUGACCCCGGAGGCGUCGUAGCUAACGCGUUAAGCACCCCGCCUGGGGAGUACGGCCGCAAGGCUA